CCUUCUGUAGACUUAGUUGGUGGACCGAUGUUGUUUUGGGCGGCACCCACUGAGGACUACUUAUUUUUACAGUAGUUCUCACGCCCUGUUGUUACCCCUAUUUUGCAGAGCCACAGGUUUCGACUGCUGCGCCUUCCGCGAAUCAGGAUCGAGGCAAGGGCGUCGCGAGUUAGAGCCCUACCCGACGAGCAGAGCUAGAGGCACCCUACUGCAGGUAGAUGUUUUGUUUCGAGUUUAUGUACAUAGUAUACUUAACUCGCCAGUGCG
rnacentral:lncRNA from 1 species